UAUGAUGGGUAGGGGAGCUUCCCAUACGGGUUGAAGCAUGACCGUAAGGACAUGUGAACAGUAUGAGAGUGAGAAUGUUGGCAUGAGUAGCGAGAUGUGGGGGAGAAUACCACAGGCCGUAAACCCAAGGUUUCAAGGGGAAGGUUCGUCCGCCCUGGGUUAGUCGGGACCUAAGCUGAGGCCGAAAGGCGUAGGUGAUGAACAACAGGUUGAUAUUCCUGUACUACC
rnacentral:rRNA from 1 species